CUCCCUGUAUGCCUCCUCGAUCUGCUAGGCCAGUCAACAACGAUGUAGGGUUAGCAGGGCUCGACGAGAAGCUACGCAAUGGAGAAGGCUAGCUUGUCAAUCUUGAUAGUGCCGCUGCCGUCGGCAUCCUUGGUGGCGACGUGGGCGUGGAUCUCGUCUCCCCCAUCCUGCUUGAAUCCACCUCGAUUGUGAGGAUGUUGGUGGUGUUGUCUUCGACAGUGGAAGCCUGACUUCGACGGCUCAUUCUUCACCUGCAGGUCCCCCCUUCUUCCUUUCCUGCCUAUCUCAUACUCGUAUUGUUUUCUUGUUUCUUAUCAUUUCUCUACAUAUGUAUGGCUAAAGCAAUAUAAUGUACAUGAAGGUACGACUUGUUAGUGAAAUAUGUAAAUCUAUUUAUGGCCCCAUACACAUUUUCGUAUACUUGGGACUGGUAUAUGAAGUGUUAGGCCCCCAGCCCCCAUUCAUAUUAAAAACAUCUAAGAAAUUAAUUAGUUCAUUUGUAAUUAGCUUUAGUUUUACUCCCUCCAUUUUUAUACAAGGCCACUAUGGAAUAUACAUUUUGCAUCUAUACAAGACCACCAACAGUAAUCGAGGCAAAAUUAAUGAUAUUUUUUCGUACUAGCAACAUGUUUAAUUGUUGCAUGCAUGCAGUCAUAAUGAUAGUCAGCUACUUCCUCCACUCAGUUUUCUUGCAUGCAUGUGGGGUAUUAGUGAUCCCAGUAAACGAAUAGAAAAGCGGACUUUCAAAACAGACAUUAAAUUUUACAUUGGUGCCUGUAAUUUGAGUUUGUGGCCCUGUAUAUAAAAAUGGAGGGAGUACUAUUUUCCAAAUAUAGAAUUAAUUUUAAAAAGUGAAUAUGAAAAUGGGUGCUAUUACAUUUUACAUAUGAACCAUAACAAUCCAUGGAUGUUGUCAGUUGUCACUAUUGUCAUACUACCUCCAUUUCAAUAUAUAAAACAUUUUGGUAGGCCAUUUUAUCCUACCAAAACAUCUUAUAUUUUGGAAUGGAGGUAGUACAAUAGAAUUUGCUUCAAAUGUUAGAUAAUAUAUAGUGUCGACUUAUUGGUAUUAUUGAUACAUUUCCAUCGAAUGUUGAUGCAUGUUACCAAUGCUUCUGCGAGUAGUAGAUCAUAUCCGUUCUGCCAUAUCAUAUUUGCAUAGAAAAUUCAAUUUUAUUUUGAGGAUAGUUUGCAGUUUACUAAUUUUCCAUCUACUUAUGGUUAUCUAAAACGGCUAGUAGCAUAUGUACGCGAGUUUUUAGUUCCUACCUUUUGAAUAUUUUUGUGUUGACUAUGUUCUUGACCAUAUUUCCUCGUUGUUAGUUCAUUUGCUAUAGAAAAGAAAAUAACCGGUGUGAUCAAGUCAGCAUGGUACUACUUGCAAGUGUUUUGAGUACCCCUUUCUCUUGUGUCUCAUGAACUCCUUGAGCUUUAUGUGGAACACUCAGUCAACAAUAUCAGGUCUUUCUGAUGCAGCUUGGCCUACUUCCUGUAGCAUAUAGACUGUAUCUCCGGCCAAGCUGCGUUGAACAUGAAAGUCACAAAUUGGUCUACAUAUCCAACUCACUGACAUAUUGGCAUAGCAUCUUGGUAGUUUUGCGCUUUGUAUCUUGGGAUAUCUAUGAAGCUGGAUGGCACAUGGCAGCAUGGUUUAUAAGGUGGUAAAGCAACCUAAAGUGAGCACCAUCCUCUCUGAUGCUUAAGCGACGCCUAAGUGCCUAAAGAAGGUAUAUUUCUAAGGCGCUGCCAGGGCGCCUUGGCGCUUAAGCGAUGUUGAAGCGUCUGAAGCAGGGCACUUUAUAAAUAGAGCAUGGAAGUAGUAUUCUCUUUCGUACCUGUUCAUCCCUUGUGUCUCCUCUUUCAAUUGCCUCUUGCAAGCCACCGGUGUCCUUGGUGUCUUUUGAUCCAGUCCAGUUUGUACUGUAAAAUACAUGCAAGGGCAUCCCCAUUUAACUGCAGUUUAAGCUUUUCAUACACUAGGAAGUGUUUCGAUUGGUUAGUAUGGUGUUGUAUAUGACUCAUAGUAUUCCAACACUGUUACAUGCUUUCUCUUGCAUUUUGCACCUUCUUUUAAUAUAUCUUGUAUAUUUCCUCUGUACCCAUCUUUUUUGUAGGGGAAUAAUAAUGGAUACUGCAUAGCCAUGAAUUAUGAAUGUUCUUUGAUAUUCUUCUCGGCCUAAUGGCCUUCUACUGAACAAUGAUAUCCAUCCUUUUCUAUUCCCUAUUGUAUCAUUCACAAUCAAGCCUACAACUUCGGUUGCCAUUCUGAGUGUUUUUGCUAGUCUAUUAUCUCUAUCCAACAUAUUUUUAAGGCCCUCGACAAUGUGAUGAUCUGUUGACUCCCUUGUAUCUUCUGAUGCUGACGCGUUAAUCUUGUUCUUACCUCAUUUGUAGGGUCAUAGGUGCAUAAUUGCACUUCUGGUAGUAGAGUUCUUAUUCUGAGGUAUUUUUGGCCAUUCAUUCCAAAUACAUAAGUUCCACGACCAUUGUUUAUUUUGGUGUCUACCUUUCCUCCCGUUGAUGUGAAAGCGGACAUGGACUUGUACAUCUGAAUAUUUUGCAUUUAGUGUUUCCUUGGCAAUUUGGAAUGGUUAUCCUGCGGCUCUCUCAAUAGUGGCAAUUCAACCUUGCCCUGUUGGUAGCAGUCUGAGACUGAAAGAUGGCAUGCUUCUUGCUCUACCUGAAGUUCUUUCUUCAUAGCAGAAUAUCGCAGCACAUACUCACUUGCAUCUUGGCUUUCUGACGUCCCAAGUUUCCAUAUCUGCCCUCUCCAAUGUCCUAUUCAAGUUUCCUAAUUCAGCAUCAAUUUAAAAUUCAUAAUGUCUAGUUGUUCUUUUUGGUACUGAAAAGAAAAUGAUAGAACUUACAAUUUGUUUUUUUCUAUAUCCUAAUUUUUAUGUUGUACACUUUGUGUUAUUUUUAAUCCUUUAGACACCCCUAAAAGAAAUACCAGGUUCAUGAAUGUCCAAAUUGUAGAACUGGAUUGAACUUUAUAGCUACUUACCUCUUAGUCAUACCAGCUUGACUGAUUAUUGAUUUUGAUCUGUGCAGAUGGUACUUACUGGAGGCUCGCUCGAUGGACCGAUGGCACAAUUGAGGAUAUUAGUGCACUUUCUUGUGAGAGUUCUUUUUCUUCUUUGAGGGAAAGCUAUCACGGUCGUGUAUAUUUAUUUGGUGUAAUAGUUGUUCGCACACGAACACGUCACGUGUACCCUCGACGCCGGGGGUGAUGCA
rnacentral:lncRNA from 1 species